GUAGGAAGAGGAAGGCACGCGUAGCACUCGCAGACCACGUGCAACGGUUGUUUUUCUCUGUCUGUUCUAAAGUACACUAGCACGACUGUGAAUUGUGGUGCUCGUGUUCAUACAACGCAAAGGAGCUCUUUCUUUGUUUCUGAACGUGACGAUAACGAAAUUAACUUUUUUUUUCAUUUUCACGCGGUGUCGCACUCAAAUGACAAAUUUCUCCUCCACGAGAAAUCGACUUUUUUCUUUUAACAGAUUCCUCUUAUUUAUGAAAUUUAUUUCUCUAAUUUAUGAAAUUUAUUUCUCUUAUUUGUGAAAUAUUCCGUAUAUCAUAAUUUAUCAUUUAUUUAAUUAUAUGUUCUUAUUAAUUGCCUGAGAUUACCUAACAUCUUGCAGCUCCAGUGAUUAUCCCUUCCCAUCUCUCUUCGACAUUAACUUACAUCUCACCUGAAAACCACGACGUCGAGGUAUAUUACAGAGUAUAGACUGUUAAGUAAGUUACGCCUCGCCAUCCGUGUUUCUGGUUGCUGAGAUACAUCACGUGAAGUGAGGAUAGCAAGUGCGAGACCAAUCUACGCUGGAAGCACAUAUUCAAGCUUCGUACGAGCUAUGCGUUGUUGCUAUUUCCGACGAGCUGACCACGAGCUUGAUUCGCAAGGAUGUUGACAUCGUUCUUAUCGCGCAAAUUUUUAAGUCGAGCACGCCCGUCUUACAUAUUCACUGUUUUGCGAACGUGCAAUGCAAUACAAUGUCCGAGACUCCGGAAAUGUAUGGUUCAGCGCGUUACAGAAAUAGCCGCGAAUCGAGGUUACAACGUGAUUACACCGCGGUUAUGCGACCAACGAAACGUGUAUUACAAUUGUAAGACGAUCGUCAGAUCUAUUGACGUCAUUCCGCCGCAAAAAUAAUUUGACCUAUACUCGGUAUGUUUUCGCCUACAAGUUCUACUCGGUCUUGACUCUACUCAAGGAAGUCGAGAGAAAAUUAAGUUUAUUUAUAUAUAUAUAUAUAUAUAUAUAUAUAUAUAUAUAUAUAUAUAUAUAUAUAUAUAUAUAACAAAAAAAUAAUGUUUAUAAUACACACAGACACGAUAAUUUUUAAUAGUCAUCAAUCUCGAGGAAGUACUGAGAAUAUCUGAUUAACAAGUGGUCGCGCGCUAUUCAAAAUAAUACUCAGAAAUAUUAAUCGACGCAUUCGCAAAAUAAGAGACAUAAUGUGUGGCGAAUUAUAUGAGUCUCAUGAGAUGAUCAAAUAACAGUUUAAUCGGCGUUUAACCCCAAUAAAAAUCAAAUAUGCAAUAUUUAUCGCGGACUUGUGCCGCUAAGGGGCGUAUGUGCACGCGUUCGCGUUAUCAAGUGUGCUUUGUAAAGUUUGUGAUAUAAACACAAUCUGCAAAUUAACGAUCGUUUUAUAGGAGUGUUCAUUAAUUGAUAUCGCCGAUAAUGAUCGCGGAGAGAUUAUCGCGAUGAUCGUAAAAACAGCUUUUGAGUAUUUCUGUAACAAUCCGAGCAUAAAAUGCAACCCGAUGAUCACUUGUUCAAACAUCGAAAAUGUUAAUUAAGACGUCUGCUAGCAGGUACACAGAUAUCGGGUAUACCGCUCCGUUCAGACACUUAAACACGAUUACGCUCUCGUGAUGCGAAAAUUAAUGUCGUUGAAGGGGAACUAAACGAUUUAUCUACUUCCUUCCUGUUUCGAUCACGUUGAUCUUCAAUGUCCUCCAUAUGAAGAUCCCGUUCGCAAUUUGUUGCAAAUUGACGUUGCAACCUGCUCGGGGACGAGUUAAAUUUUUAUAAAAUGUACUGUACACGUGUGAUCCCUGUUUUUGAAAUGAGAAAUAAAAUUCUUCAGACGUAACGCGUGUCUUUUUAUAAGGGAAGUUGUUUUAUGCGCGCAAUUAUAUAAGCUGCAAAUAAGUGAUGAUAUCGAACGAACAUGCGCACAUCACGAGACUCGUAAGACUGAGAUUUCUUGUUUC